rnacentral:tRNA from 1 species
UGCCCCAUGGCUGAGUUGGUUACAGCGUCCGACUGUUAUGUACAUAAUAUGAUCGGAAGGUCGAGAGUUCGAGCCUCUCUGGGGCAG